rnacentral:rRNA from 1 species
CCUACGGGAGGCAGCAGUGGGGAAUAUUGCACAAUGGGGGAAACCCUGAUGCAGCGACGCCGCGUGAGUGAAGAAGUAACUCAUUAUGUAAAGCUUUUUUAGUCGGGAAGAAAAUGACGGUACCUGUGUAAGAAUCCCCGGCUCACUACGUGCCAGCAGCCGCGGUAAUAUGUAGGGGGCAAGCGUUAUCCGGAUUUACUGGGUGUUAUGGGAGUUUAUUCGGGUGUGCAGGUCUGGAGUGAAAGGGUGGGGCUCAACCCCCGGACUGCUGUGGAAACUGGGCGGCUGGAGUGCAGGAGAGGUAAGUGGAAUGCCUGGUGUAGCGGUGAAAUGCGUAGAUAUUAGGAGGAACACCAGUGGCGAAGGCAGCUUACUGGACUGUAACUGACGUUGAGGCUCGAAAGCGUGGGGAGCAAACAGGAUUAGAUACCCCUGUAGUC